UUCUAUGGGCGGGCGGUGGUGGGGGAGCCGAAAGGCUCGCCGGUUUGUUUCAAGCCCGGUCUUCCAAUCCCGCCACAUGUCCGCUCACCCUU
rnacentral:antisense_RNA from 1 species